UACACGACCGUACCGCAAACCGACACUGGUGCGCGAGAUGAGUAUUCUAAGGCGCUUGAGAGAACUCAGGAGAAGGAACUCGGCAAAUUGACACCGUAACUUCGGAAGAAGGUGUGCCUUUAGUAGGUGAAGUCCCUCGCGGAUGGAGCCCAAUGAGGUUGCAAAGAAUCGGUGGCUGCGACUGUUUAUUAAAAACACAGCACUCUGCAAACACGAAAGUGGACGUAUAGGGUGUGACGCCUGCCCGGUGCUGGAAGAUUAAAUGAUGGGGUGCAAGCUCUUGAUUGAAGUCCCAGUAAACGGCGGCCGUAACUAUAACGGUCCUAAGGUAGCGAAAUUCCUUGUCGGGUAAGUUCCGACCUGCACGAAUGGCGUAACGAUGGCCACACUGUCUCCUCCUGAGACUCAGCGAAGUUGAAAUGUUUGUGAUGAUGCAAUCUCCCCGCGGAAAGACGGAAAGACCCCAUGAACCUUUACUGUAGCUUUGUAUUGGACUUUGAACAGAUCUGAGUAGGAUAGGUGGGAGGCUUUGAAGCAGGGUCGCUAGAUCUUGUGGAGCCAACGUUGAAAUACCACCCUGGUGUGUUUGAGGUUCUAACCUAGGCCCGUAAUCCGGGUUGGGGACAGUGCAUGGUAGGCAGUUUGACUGGGGCGGUCUCCUCCCAAAGUGUAACGGAGGAGUUCGAAGGUACGCUAGUUACGGUCGGACAUCGUGACGAUAGUGCAAUGGCAUAAGCGUGCUUAACUGCGAGACUGACAAGUCGAGCAGAUCGAAAGCAGGACAUAGUGAUCCGGUGGUUCUGUAUGGAAGGGCCAUCGCUCAACGGAUAAAAGGUACUCUGGGGAUAACAGGCUGAUACCGCCCAAGAGUUCAUAUCGACGGCGGUGUUUGGCACCUCGAUGUCGGCUCAUCUCAUCCUGGGGCUGUAGCCGGUCCCAAGGGUAUGGCUGUUCGCCAUUUAAAGAGGUACGUGAGCUGGGUUUAAAACGUCGUGAGACAGUUUGGUCCCUAUCUUCCGUGGGCGCUGCAGAUUUGAGGAAGCCUGCUCCUAGUACGAGAGGACCGGAGUGGACGCACCUCUGGUGUAUCGGUUGUCACGCCAGUGGCAUUGCCGAGUAGCUAUGUGCGGAAGAGAUAACCGCUGAAAGCAUCUAAGCGGGAAACUCGUUUCAAGAUGAGAUCUGCCGGGGCCUUGAGCCCCCUGAAGAGUCGUUCAAGACCAGGACGUUGAUAGGUCGGGUGUGGAAGCUAG
rnacentral:rRNA from 1 species